UGGGUGUUAGUUGGCUAUGUGGGCUUCACCUAUUCUUCUUUACAACAGCGCUGUUUUUUUUAUUUUUCAAUUUUCCCCUCUCCGACCCUCUCUUCUCCUUCGAUUCCUCUCAUCCCUCUCUUGGAUCCCUCUCAGACCCUUUGUCCUUGGACCACUCUCAGACCCUCUCCCGUUGGACCCCUCCCAGACCCUCUCUAAUUCGACCCCUCUCAGAGCCUCUGUCCUUCGACCCCUCUCACACCCGACGGCCAAGCCAUUCCUGCAGACGACGGCCUAGCCCCCCAUACCCCUCGCAGACCUUAGAUCUCGCCACCGCUAGAGAGUAGAAGGUCAGCCUUCGAGCUUCGCGCCUGCGUCAACGGUCUCUCUCUCUCUCUCUGUGUGCAAACCCCCUCAGAUCUCGAACCUUAUUAGAAGUCGUAAUUUGAUGACGACUACACAGAGUUCGCUUCCCCCGGCUCAGACGUCAGCUGCCACUGCUCUAGCGCAGAUAGACCACUUGCUGGUUGGUCCCGGAGUCUCUCAUGCACCGGCAUCAUUAGCGUCAUUAGUGGUGCAACAUGUUAGGGCCAGGCGUCGUCACUGCCACGCUAGCACCACCGACACUACAUCGACAGACGUUACUGAUGCGUCGGGGUCACAGCCAGCCAAGAAGAAUACCCGGAGGCCGUGUCGGCAGUUGAAGACGACGUAGGUCACCCGGGUGACCAAUAGUCGUAUCAACAUCGGAUACGACGAGUGGCAUUGGGUUGCACUGACGGCGGAGUUGCAUAGCUCAUUGGCCCACGACUUUGGUCAUGUCGUUCGGACCUAUUGCCCGAUGUAAUGGAAGUCUUGGAAGGUCAUGCCUGCCGAGAUCCAGAUGGAGGUGCGCGGACAGUUGUCGACGAACUACAACUUAGAGGACCUCGAUGAC